rnacentral:tRNA from 1 species
GGGUCAGUGAUGGAACGGAAUACAUCCGGUGCUUAAACCGCCGGGCCGAUAAGGAUUGAGGGUUCGAAUCCCUCCUGGCCCACCA